ACAUUGGUAGUUCAGUGGUAGAAUUCUCGCCUUCAUUGUGGGAGUCCCAGGUUCUAUUACUGGCCAGUGCA
rnacentral:tRNA from 1 species